rnacentral:rRNA from 1 species
GAUGAACGCUGGCGGCGUGCCUAAUACAUGCAAGUCGAGCGAACAGAUGAGUAGCUUGCUCCUCUGACGUUAUCGGCGGACGGGUGAGUAACACGUGGAUAACCUACCUAUACGACUUGGAUAACUUCGGGAAACCGGAGCUACUACCGGGUAAUAUAUUGAACCGCAUGGUUCAAUAGUGUAAGACGGUUUUGCUGUCGCUUGUAGAUGGAUCCGCGGCGCAUUAGCUAGUUGGUAAGGUAACGGCUUACCAAGGCGACGAUGCGUAGCCGACCUGAGAGGAUGAUCGGCCACACUGGAACUGAGACACGGCCCAGACUCCUACGGGAGGCAGCAGUAGGGAAUCUUCUGCAAUGGGCGAAAGCCUGAUGGAGCAACGCCGCGGGAGUGAUGAAGGUCUUCGGAUCGUAAAACUCUGUUAUUAGGGAAGAACAAAGGUGGAAGUAACUAUGCACGUCUUGACGGUACCUAAACAGAAAGCCACGGCUAACUACGUG